GAUGAACGCUGGCGGCGUGCCUAAUACAUGCCAGUCGAGCGAACGGACGAGAAGCUUGCUUCUCUGAUGUUAGCGGCGGACGGGUGAGUAACACGUGGAUAACCUACCUAUAAGACUGGGAUAACUUCGGGAAACCGGAGCUAAUACCGGAUAAUAUUUUGAACCGCAUGGUUCAAAAGUGAAAGACGGUCUUGCUGUCACUUAUAGAUGGAUCCGCGCUGCAUUAGCUAGUUGGUAAGGUAACGGCUUACCAAGGCAACGAUGCAUAGCCGACCUGAGAGGGUGAUCGGCCACACUGGAACUGAGACACGGUCCAGACUCCUACGGGAGGCAGCAUUAGGGAAUCUUCCGCAAUGGGCGAAAGCCUGACGGAGCAACGCCGCGUGAGUGAUGAAGGUCUUCGGAUCGUAAAACUCUGUUAUUAGGGAAGAACAUAUGUGUAAGUAACUGUGCACAUCUUGACGGUACCUAAUCAGAAAGCCACGGCUAACUACGUG
rnacentral:rRNA from 1 species